CAAUAUGUCUCAAUCUGCACUGCACUUCAUUCUAAGCUAUUGGGUAUAGUCUAUGGGACAGUGCCCGGAAAUAUAUGAAUUAAAGCGAGAUGUUGUGUCGAACUGAAAUAUUUCAGACUUUAUGACUGUGAAAGAGAGGCGGUUCAGAGACGCUGAAACAACGACGACUGUGAUGGUCUGCGGGAAAAAAAGAGCGAUCGAAGCCAAGGCUCUCCCAUUUUCACCUCAAACCUGAGCUGAACCCCGGAAUGGCACGAACUGUUACACCCUAUCCCAGCGCCGGGGUCAGUGGAAGUGCGUCUCCUUUUCGCUAUGCAGACGAACCGGGCCCCUCCGUCGACCUCCGUAUAAGCUUCCCCCUGUCUGCGGAAGGAGUGGCCUCCGAUGUCUCCCGGCACCCGGGCCUUGAUAGCUAACAGCCUUUUACUGCCUUCUCCCACUCCUCCAGUAACAAGUAGAGUGUGUGGAAGCUAAUGGAUGUUGUCAGUGGUGUGUUCUGAGCGCUGAUUUAGAGGGAACCCACCAGCCAGGCUUCUCUCAGAGUUAGCCUGACCGCUGGACUACCUGGGUGAGGAGUACGAGAUGAGGAGGAUAGUUAGCUCACUCACGCUACAAAUCACAUUUAUAUCCUUAAAAGAUAUGGAGAUCGAUUAAAUGCCACGGUGUCGCGUGGAAAGUGAAUUCUGUCUCACAGUCUGUGAGAGGACUCGCCUUUUUCCUCCCUCCCCCAGUUUCGGUUGUAGUCUCUUACGUAAAAGUUAAUUGAGCCACUGAUUUCAGUGCUCAGGUCACAGGGGCUCGAAAUAUACUGGUGGAAACUGCAAACCUCUCACAGAUUCAUUAGUUUAUUUAUAUUUUACAUGACUAUUCCGGGUUCAUUGUGAAAAAGCAAAAAGUGUUUGUAUUAUUUGUACUUUUUACCCCCCUAUUUUGUGAUAUCCAAUUGAUAGUUACAGUCUUGUCCCAUCGCUGCAACUCCCCUACGGUCUCGGGAGAGACGAAGGUCGUUAAUCCUGAAGCCAGCCGCACCAAUGUGUUGGAGGAAACACCGGCCAACUGGCGACCAAAGUCUGCUUGCACAAGGAGUUGCUAGAGUGCGAUGGGACAAGGAAAUACAGGCCGCCCUCCCCUCCUCUAACCCGGAUGACGCUAGGCCAAUUGUGCACCGCUUCAUGGGUCUCCCGGGCACGGAUGGCUGUGACACAGCCUUGGAUCGAACACAGGGCUGUAGUGACGCCUCACUGCGAUGCAGUGCCAUAGACAGCUGCGCCACUCGGGCGGCCAGCAAAAUAAAAUGUUGCGCAGAGGCUCACUUUUUUAUACUUCUUGAGAUGUGAUGUUUUCAUAAUGCUGGACAUACAUUAAUAUACAGUGCAUUUGGAAAGUAUUCAGACCCCUUGACUUGUCCCAUGUUUUGUUACGUUACAGCUUUAAUCUAAAGUUGAAUAAAUAGUUUUUUCCCUUAUCAAUCUACACACAAAACCACAUAACGACAAAGCAAAAACAGGAUUUUAGAAAUUUUGGCAAAUAUAUAGAACCUGAAAUAUCACAUUUACAUAAGUAUUCAGACCCUUUACUCAGUACUUUGUUGAAGCACUUUUGGCAGUGAUUACAGUCUGGAGUCUUCUUGGGUAUGACACUACAAACUUGGCACACCUGUAUUUCUGCAGAUCCUGUCAGAUCCUGCAAUGUCAGGUUGGAUUGGUAGUGUUGCAACACAGUUAUUUUCAGGUAUCUCCAGAAAUGUUCGAUCGGGUUCAAGUCCGGGCUCUGGCUGGACCACUCAAGGACAUUCAGACUUGUCCCGAAGCCACUCAUGUGUUGUAUUGGCUGUGUGCUUAGGGUCGUUGUCCUGUAGGUAGGUGAACCUUCGCCAGUCUGAGGACCUGAGCGCUCUGGAUCAGAUUUUCAUCAAGGAUCUCUCUGUACUUUGCUGCGUUCAUCCUUCCCUCGAUCCUGACUAGUUUCCUAGUCCCUGCCGCGGAAAAACAUCCCCACGGCAUGAUGCUGCCACCACCAUGCUUCACCGUAGGGAUGGUGCCAGGGUUCAUGGGUUCAAUCUUGGUUUCAUCAGACCAGAUAAUCUUGUUUCUCAUGGUCUGAGAGUCCUUUAGGUGCCCUUUGGCAAACUCCAAGCGGGCUGUCAUGUGCCUUUUACUGAGGAGUCGCUUCCAACUGGCCACUCUACCAUAAAGGCCUGAUUGGUGGAGUGCCGCAGAGAUGGUUGUCCUUCUGGAAGGUGCUCCUGUAUCCACAGAGGAAUGCUGGAGAUCGGGUUCUCGGUCACCUCCCUGACCAAGGACCUUCUCCCCUGAUUGCUCAGUUUCGAAGGGCAGUGGUUCCAAACGUCUUCCAUUUAAAAAUGAAUAAGGCAACUUUGUUCUUGGGGUCCUUCAAUGCUGCUGAAAUUUGUUGGUACCCUUCACCAGACCUGUGCCUCGACACAAUCCUGUCUCGGUGCUCUACUGACAAUUCCUUUACCUCAUGGUUUUUGCUCUGACAUGAACUGUCAACUCUGGGAGCUUAUAUAGACCGGUGUGCGCCUUUCCAAAUCAUGUCCAAUCAAUUGAAUUUACCACAGGUGGACGACAAUCAAGUUGUAGAAACAUCUCAAGCAUGAUCGAUGGAAAUAGGAUGCACUAGAGCUCAAUUACGAGUCACACAGAGAAAGAUUUGAAUACUUAUGUAAAUUAGGUAUCUUUUUAAAAUAUUUAAUAAAUGAGCAAACGUUUUUGCUUCGUCAUUAUGGGCCAUUAUGUAGAUUUAUGUGGAUUUUUAUUUAUUUAAUCCAUUUUAGAAUAAGGCUGUAACGUAAUUAAAUAUGGAAAGGGGGAUGGGGUCUGAAUACUUUCCGAAUGCACUUCAUGCAUACUAUAUUAAUAUAAUCCCCUCUAAGCCUC